GUUGUGCAGAACGUUUUUCCUGAUUUGUAACUGACAGUUCACUAAAUAUAACCGCGAAAAUAAAGCGUUUACAUCAUAAUAAACAAUUGUUCAGCAUAAACUUCAAGUUAGGUAGAUUUAUGAGUUGGACCAGAACGUAUCGGGAGAUACUUCCGUAAUCGUCGGAGGAAGUCUAACAGAUGAAGAUAUGAGUUUGGUUAUGUUAUGACACGAGUUAUCUCCCUUGAUGAACGGAUGACCGUCUAAACAACACCAUGCCGGUCGAGGUACCCAAACAGAGGGUCCUAAAGUACUCUCAGGCUCUGAUGGGAUGCUCGGGACAGGCUGCAGCAUAUGGUAAAUGUGUAGCAGCAAAAGGCACCAUCAAGAAAGCAGAAUGUGAAAAGGAAUUUCUGUUACUUAAAGAAUGUAUGCAGGCUGGUAUGAAGAAAAUAAAGUAAUCAAGAACAAAGACAUACAGAAGCAAUAUAGUGCAGACAAUGCUUUUUUUUUUACAAAACUUGUGGUGAUACAUUGAUCAUCAGGGAAAUUUAGGAAGAAGCAAUUUACAAUAUAUUGAAAACGAGUUACUUUGUUUGCAUGUAUACAUGUAUUAUUUUCAUAUAGAAUAAACGUGUUUUGGAAGGUUUUUUGUUA